GAAUUCAGGACCGAUCGUCGUUCGUUCGCGGACGGCGGUCGACUCGAUAUUUCCGCCGCCGACCCUCGACCGAGGGUGUCGGACGUCGCGACCCGUUCGCCACGGUCGAUGCUCAGGGACGCGCCUCGAGUUCGCCCGCGCUUCCGUUUCGGCGGUCGCGCGACGACGGCGCGUUUCCACUGUCAUCGGCGCGGACGGUAGCUUUGCGCGCGGGUAAUCGACGCGGCCCGUUCGUUCGGCGUCCUCGUACGUCGGACGGCGCUCGCGUCGACGCCGGUCAGCGACGAAUCUUCGGGCCUCUUUCCGACCCGUCUUGAAACACGGACCAAGGAGUCUAGCGUGCGCGCGAGUCGCGGGGUAUCCGAGUCGUAGUAGUCGUUUCGGCGGCGAACGCGACUCGUCACGAUACGAAACCCGUGUACGUACGUUGUGCGAAGGCGUAAUGAAAGUGAAGGGCGACGCUUCGCGCGUCGCCGAGGGAAGACGGUGUUUCCGUGCACACGUUUCGCGGUCACGCGUGUACCGCGGCCGGACACCCGCAUUCCCCGGGCGUCCCGCUCGUACGUCGGCGGUCGGGGUUUCGGCUUCGGUCGUCGGCGAACUGGGGCGCAC
rnacentral:rRNA from 1 species